rnacentral:rRNA from 1 species
ACCUUCGGGUGUGAAUUAGCGGCGAACGGGUGAGGAACACGUGAGAAAUCUGCCUUCAACACUGGGAUAACUCCGGGAAACCGGGGCUAACACCGGAUAUGAAAUCUGCGGGCAUCCGCGGAUUUGGAAAGUUUUUCGGUUGAAGAUGAUCUCGCGGCCUAUCAGCUUGUUGGUGAGGUAAUGGCUCACCAAGGCGACGACGGGUAGCCGGCCUGAGAGGGCGACCGGCCACACUGGGACUGAGACACGGCCCAGACUCCUACGGGAGGCAGCAGUGGGGAAUAUUGGGCAAUGGAGGAAACUCUGACCCAGCGACGCCGCGUGCGGGAUGAAGGCCUUCGGGUUGUAAACCGCUUUCAGCAGGGAAGAAGCGAAAGUGACGGUACCUGCAGAAGAAGCACCGGCUAACUAUGUGCCAGCAGCCGCGGUAAUACAUAGGGUGCAAGCGUUGUCCGGAAUUAUUGGGCGUAAAGAGCUCGUAGGUGGUUCGUCACGUCGGAUGUGAAACUCUGGGGCUUAACCCCAGACCUGCAUUCGAUACGGGCGAGCUUGAGUAUGGUAGGGGAGUCUGGAAUUCCUGGUGUAGCGGUGGAAUGCGCAGAUAUCAGGAGGAACACCAAUGGCGAAGGCAGGACUCUGGGCCAUUACUGACACUGAGGAGCGAAAGCGUGGGGAGCGAACAGGAUUAGAUACCCUGGUAGUCCACGCCGU